GUUACUGCUAUCGGUGUUCGCCUAAGCCAUGCGAGUCAUAUGUAGCAAUACAUGGCGUACUGCUCAGUAACACGUGGAUAACCUGCCCUUGGGACCGGCAUAACCCCGGGAAACUGGGGAUAAUUCCGGAUAACGCAUAUUUGCUGGAAUGCUUUAUGCGUCAAAAGGAUUCGUCUGCCCAAGGAUGGGUCUGCGGCCUAUCAGGUAGUAGUGGGUGUAAUGUACCUACUAGCCAGCGACGGGUACGGGUUGUGAGAGCAAGAGCCCGGAGAUGGAUUCUGAGACAUGAAUCCAGGCCCUACGGGGCGCAGCAGGCGCGAAAACUUUACAAUGCGGGAAACCGUGAUAAGGGGACACCGAGUGCCAGCAUCAUAUGCUGGCUGUCCGGAUGUGUAAAAUACAUCCGUUAGCAAGGGCCGGGCAAGACCGGUGCCAGCCGCCGCGGUAACACCGGCGGCCCGAGUGGUGAUCGUGAUUAUUGGGUCUAAAGGGUCCGUAGCCGGUUUGGUCAGUCCUCCGGGAAAUCUGAUAGCUCAACUAUUAGGCUUUCGGGGGAUACUGCCAGACUUGGAACCGGGAGAGGUAAGAGGUACUACAGGGGUAGGAGUGAAAUCUUGUAAUCCCUGUGGGACCACCUGUGGCGAAGCGUCUUACCAGAACGGGUUCGACGGUGAGGGACGAAAGCUGGGGGCACGAACCGGAUUAGAUACCCGGGUAGUCCCAGCCGUAAACGAUGCUCGCUAGGUGUCAGGCAUGGCGCGACCGUGUCUGGUGCCGCAGGGAAGCCGUGAAGCGAGCCACCUGGGAAGUACGGCCGCAAGGCUGAAACUUAAAGGAAUUGGCGGGGGAGCACAACAACGGGUGGAGCCUGCGGUUU
rnacentral:rRNA from 1 species